CUUAUCUUGAUGUUUCCAGCAUUCAAAAUAGCAGACUUUUUGAUGUAAUAUUCUGAUAAAUUCUCUGGAAACUAUUAAAACACAACUACAGAAAUGUAUUCUCAUAGUUUCCAGACAAUUUAUGAGAAUAUUACAUCAAAAAGUCUGCCAUUUUGAAUGCUGGAAACAUCAAGAUAAGAUAGAAGCAACAACAACAACAAAGUCAAGAGCUGAGUUGAAGAAACCUUUGUGCCAUGGGAUGCUUGGCUUGUGAGAGUUCGUCAGGCUUUAAAACUUCAACAACUUCUCCAUUUACAAGGAGGCAAACCACAUCAGCAAUUCUUUGGAUCUGCUUGAUGCUGUGAGAGACCAUCACAAUUGUCAUUCCCUGGGUCUUCUUCAGUUUCACAAUAACAUCCUCUAUGUUUUGUGUUGAUAUUGGAUCCAAUGCACUCGUUGGUUCAUCUAGUAGCAAAACCUCUGGUUCAUUGGCUAGGGUCCUAGCAAGUGCAACCCUUUGAGCUUGACCUACAGAUAAUUCGUUACCAUUCUUCUUGUGGAAGGAAGAAUCAAGGUCAGCAAGGGCAAGCAACUUGUGAACCUCAUGGUCAGGAAGCUUUUGCCCCCUCAAUUGUGGUCCAAACCGUAUGUUAUCGGCGACUGUGCCUUCAAACAGAGCCGGAAUCUGGAAGAGCAUUCCAACCUUACGGCGGAGGCUGAGAACAUCAAGAUCCCGAAUAUCAUGGCCAUCAAGAAACACGGUACCGGACGGUGGCUCCCAGAGGCGGUUCAUCGACCUCAAGAGCGUAGAUUUGCCACUACCGCUGGGGCCUAUGAUCCCAACAACGACGCCCUUGGGUAUGUCCAAGUUGACUCCCGAGAGAAUAGUUACUCCGGCAUCGGAUUUCUUGGUCAAAUCACGUAUUCGAAACUUGUUUUGAGGAUCAUCUCCACCUGCUUCAAUAUCCCCCACAGCCAACAGAUGCUCUUGACGAUCAUCAGCCGGAGAGGCCUGAGCUCGGAAGAACGAACCCAUAGGAGAAGGACUGGUAAGCAGAGGAGAAGCAGAGCUCAUAGCUGUUAUGCGAGAAAAAACCAGAAAUACCUUCCCCUGAUGGUUACUGCACCAGUCACCACAUGACGCUUCAAGAUUCUACAUGAUUCCUUCUUCCAUUUUCU
rnacentral:misc_RNA from 1 species